rnacentral:rRNA from 1 species
UCUUGAACAGGCCCAGAGGCGCAAUGAAAGUGAAGGAUGCCCGUGCCGGCAUCUGCGUUGGGAUCCCGGGACCCCGGUCCCGGGCGCACCAACGGCCCGUCCCACCUGCCUCGUCAGCGGGACGGAGCGAGAGCGUACACGUUGGGACCCGAAAGAUGGUGAACUAUGCCUGGGCAGGACGAGGCC